GUCUGAUAUCUUUCACUGUCAUAAUCUUCUCAGUUAAUAUUUUUGCAAAGGCGGUCUCAGUCAGGGUGAAAUGAAAUGGUGAUAACAUCUGUGCUGCACCAUAAAAAAGAACGAGAUCAUGUCCCUUCUGGGAACAUGGAUGGAGCUGGAGGCCAUUAUCUUUAGCAAACUAAUGCAGGAACAGAAAUCCAAAUACCACAUGUUCUCCCUUAUAAGUGGGAGCUUAGUGAUGAGAAUACAUGGACACAAAGAGGAGAACAGACACUGGGAUCUGUUUGAGGGUGGAGGGUGGAAGAAGGGAGAGGAUCAGAAAAGAUAACUAUUGGGGCCAUGCGCGGUGGCUCACACCUGUAAUCCCAGCACUUUGGGAGGUUGAGGGCUGGAGGAUUGUUUAAGCCCAGAAGUCCAAGACCAGCCUGGGCAACAUGACGAAACCCCGUCUCUAAAAAAACACAAAAAUUAGCCAGGAGUAGUGGCACAUGCCUAUAGUCCCAGCUACUCAGGAUGCUGAGGUGGGAGGAUCACUUGAGCCUGUGAGGUGGAGGUUCGGUGAACCGAGAUCAUGCCACUGCACCCCAGCCUAGGCAACAGAACAAGACUCUGUCUCAAAAAAUAACUAUUGGAUACUAAGCUUAGUACCUGGGUGAUGAAAUAAUCUGUACAACAAACCCCUGUGAUACCAGUUACCAAUAUUGAAAUGCUUCAUUCUCUUUCACCCAUUCAUGAGAAAUAAUUAUUUCUCCCUUGAACCUCACAGGUCUUUGUAAAUGCCUCUAUUACCACAUUGCAUUUCAAUUAUGUUCAUAUGUAAUGCAAGCCAUUAGAAUGCCAAACCCUUGUGGUUCAGUCUUGAUGUGAUGUCAUGAUUAAAGAGGCACAGGCAGACCAAAAAAAAAAAAAAAAAAAAAACUAUGCUGCAGAAUCACAGUUACUGAGGCCUCACUCGUGGUGAAUUUGGGUGAAACAGGUGGAAGAGCUCAUGCAACAUUACUAACACUUGAAAGAUAUGGGGCAAAGGUAAUUCUAAGGACUAUCAAGUAGGUUGGUUUUUAUCAACUGCUGUUGACACACUGCAGAAAAUCACAAGCUUGGGUCACUUAGGGAAUAGUGGGAAAGCCAGAAAGCCCUUAUGGCAUCAUUUAAAGAGAUGCAUUUUGCAAAAUUAUAAAGAUAACGUGAAUAUAAAAAGAAAUGAUGUUACUUCCAAAUUACUUUAUCUUUCUUCAGAUCCCCUGAGUCACGGGUCAGGAGGGCACAUCAGUAAUCCUUCCUGCAGUGGAAAUGGUACAUUCUGGUUUCUUUGUUGUUGUUGUUUAUAGAGACGGCAUCUCACUAUGUUGCCCAGGCUGGUCUCAAACUCCUGGGCUCAAGGGAUCCUCCCACCUCAGCCUCACAAGUAGCUGGGACUGCAGGUGCAUAUGACUGCACUGCGUAGAAACGGUACAUUCUGGAUCAGGCCUAAGCAAAUCCAGGGAGCACAAGUAUGUUGCCCCAAAAGGUGAUGCAGACUCAUCAAUUACCCUUCUCUGUUGUAUCUGUGCCUCUCCCUCACCUCAUACCUAUGGCCUCAGAGAAGGCAUUCUUCAACCCAGUUGAUGGAGAAAAACUCAGGCCUGGUCAAGAAUAGGUCAGCUCUAUAUGUUAAUUGUUGCUCUGUACCCGUGUGGACUGCUGCCACAUGACAGUCCACUCAGGAGGGACUGUGGAAAACAGCAGCGAAGAGGAAUACGCUCAAAGCACAGGAGUCAAGCAGUCCAGCUGCUCAUCAGCUUGCUGUGAAGGGAGACAUAGCCCACAGUAAAUAAUAUACAUAGAUUCCUGGGCUGUGGCACGUGACCUGACUGAUUGGCAAGGGAGGAAAUAGAAGACUGAAGACAGGCUGGGCAUGGUGGCUCACGCCUGUAAUCCCAGCACUUUGGGAGGCUGAGGCAGGAAGAUAGGUCAGGAGCUCGAGACCACCCUGGCCAACAUGGUAAAACCCUGUCUCUACUAAAAAUACAAAAAUUAGCCAGGCAUGGUGGUGGGCACCUGUAAUCCCAGCUGCUCAGGAAGCUGAGGCAGGAGAAUCGCUUGAACCCAGGAGACAGAGGCUGCAGUGAGCCGAGACCACACCACUGCACUCCAGCCUGAGCGACACAGGGACACUCUGAAUCUAAAACAAAUAAAAUAAAAAUAAAUAGAAGACUGAAGACAAAGAGGCCUAGAGAAGAAGCAGGCAAGUGGCCUCUGGAAUUAGGCAACAAAAUGUGCAACUCUUUGUGUCUCAUACCAAGGCCUAUGAGAGAAUAUCCAUCACAAAGCAGGUGCAGAGCAACCAGGUGGCAGGGAUGACUCAUCCAGUGCAGUAAGCAAGCCUCUGUCCUUGGCCACUCUGGUGCUUCCUCAAUGGGCCCAUUAACAGAGUAGCCAUGGUGGCAGGAAUGCAGCUAAGGGGACUUCCCUGCUCACCAACCCCGAUGUAGCAACUACCACUGAAUACCUGAUCCAUUAGCCUAGAGACUGAGGCUGAGCUCUAAAUAUGUUACCAGUCCUCAAGGAAACCAACCAUCCACUUGGUGGCAAAUUGAUCCCAUCAAACCCAUUCUACCCUGGAAGCAUUUCUGUCUACUGGGAUUGAGUUCAAGAAUGGAUUUGCCUUUCCUGCUAGCCUUGCCUCAGCCAGCACCACAAUCCAGGAGCUUAUACAGUGUGUAAUGUAACAUUAUGGUUUCCACAUAACAUCAUCUUAAACCAGUGUUUCUCAAUUUUUUUUCUUUUUUUCUUUUUUUUUUUAAACGGAGUCUUGCGCUGUCUCCCAGGCUGGGGCGCAGUGGUACGAUCACAUCUCACUACAACCUCUGUCUCUCAGGUUCAAGUGAUUCUCCUGCCUCCCCGAGUAGUUGGGAUUACAGGCACAUGCCACUGGGCAUGGCUAAUUUUUGUAUUUUUAGUAGAGACGGGGUUUCACCAUGUUUUGGCCAGGCUGGUCUUGAACUCCUGAUCUCAAGUGGAUCUGCCUGCCUUGGCCUCCCAAACUGCUGGGAUUACAGGCACGAGCCACCUCACCCGGCCUUCAAUUUUUUUUUCAUUAUCACUCCCUUAAUAUCCUUUUUAGACUUUUUUUUCCUGUCAGCCUAUGAAACUUUUCUUUUUUUAUUUCUUUCUUUUUUUUUUAACAUGCCUUCUGAAUUCAAAAACUCCCAUGAAAUUUUAAUACCACAGAUAUACUGUAUUAUUCCUCCUCCUCCUCCUCCUCUCUUCUUCUUCUUCUCCCUCUCCCUCUCCCUCUCCCUCUCCC
rnacentral:lncRNA from 1 species